UACUAGGUAUAACAAAACUAAGAAUCUAUGGUGAUGAAUCAAUCUUGCUUGGAAUAUUAAAAACUUAACAUAUAUUCAAGGGUCCCUAUAUUUGACUAUCUUAUUUAUUUUUUUCUUCUAAAAUACUUUUAUCAAUAGGAAAAAAACCAGCUCUGAAUAUUAAAAUUUGAAAACAAUUGAGGUCUAAGAGUUAAUCAAUAUUUUGACAUAAAGAAAGAAAUAAAUCUGCAGUAGAACAAAAUAUCACAAAACAAUAUAUAUGUGGUCUAGUUAAUAACGCCUAUAAAUAAGCCAAGUGAAGAAGACACAAACUCUAUUGCCCAAAAAAAAAAAAAAAAAAAAAGAAGAAGACACAACUCUUGUUUUAAAGUGAUUGGAGUCCCAUUUAUUUUUGAUGAUAAAUAGGAGAGAAAACGUUUUGACUCACAUAACGUAGAAAGAAAAAAGGAAUAUUCCGGCAAAGAUUGAGAAUCUCAAUUAUCCAAUGGAGAAGUGUUUCCGGCGGUCUGUUCUCCUUUCCACGGUGAUCGCCGCCAUGUUAUUCUCUUUUAUUCCGGUUUCAAUCUCUAUUCCCUUCAUACUCUUUCACGGAAUUGGAGAUAAAUGUUCUGGUGGAGUUAGUAACUUCACGCAACUCCUAACCAACCUCUCUGGCUCUCCUGGCUUCUGCUUAGAAAUAGGAAACGGAGAAAAGGACUCAUGGUUCAUGCCAUUGAUAAAGCAAACUAGUUUAGCGUGUGAGAAAGUGAAAACGAUGAAAGAGUUGAGUCAAGGUUACAACAUUGUCGCAGAGUCUCAAGGAAACUUAGUCGCUAGAGGACUAAUCGAGUUUUGCGAUAAUGCUCCUCCUGUCAUCAACUAUAUUUCCUUAGGAGGUCCUCAUGCUGGCAUUGCCAAAAUCCCCAAGUGUGCUUCUGGUCCAAUAUGUGAUAUAGGUGAAGCUAUGUUGAAGUUAGAGGUCUAUACUGACUUCGUACAAGAUCAUAUUGCUCCCAGUGGUUAUAUCAAGAUUCCUGGUGAAAUCUCAAAGUAUUUGGAACACUCAAAGUAUCUACCAAAGGUUAACAAUGAGAGACCUGACGAAAGAAACUCCACUUUCAAAGACCGAUUCACUAAGUUACACAACUUAGUUCUUGUCAUGUUCGAGAGCGAUACAACAUUAAUCCCUAAAGAAACUGCAUGGUUUGGAUAUUAUGAAGAUGAAGGAUUUGAUACUCUUUUGUCAACUCAACAGACAAAGUUGUACAGAGAAGAUUGGAUUGGUCUGAAAGCAUUGGAUGUUGCCGGAAAAGUGAAGUUUGAAAGUGUGUUAGGGGACCAUCUCAGUAUAUCGGAUGAGGAGGUUGUGGAAUAUGUUGUGCCUUACUUAAUGCAAAGCUGUAUGUGAAUUUCUUUAACUACAUGAGACUAUAAGAGGUAACCGCUCAUGGGAGUUUCUAUCAAGAGAUUGAAUGAACGAGUUGAUGAAGACAUGCCUCUUCAUUAAAUUCAUUAACAAACUUUUUACAUCAAUCGCGGAGCAUUGCGCUGAUGCGGAAGUGAUUUACAAGUUUUUGGAGGUCAAUGAGAUUGAUAAGGAAAAAUAGCUGAUCAGUGAUUUUUGGUUGUCGGAGACUGAUCCGAAUGAGCGACGGUGAUGAAAAUAUGAGUGGUGGAUAGAGACGCAAGGGAUCGGUGAAGUUGUUUAAUACACACAAGGGGUUUGGUUUCAUCACACCAGACGACGGUGGUGAGUGGUGACGAUCUCUUCGUUCACCAGUCCAUUAGCUCUGAAAAAUUUCGUAGCCUUACCGUUGAUGAAGCUGUUGAGUUCAAGGUUGAGGUUGACAACGCCAGUCGUCUGAAGACUGUUGAAGUUUCUGGACCCGAGGGUGCUCCUGUUCAGUGAAAUAACGGCGGUUCAUCUGGUGGAUGUGGUGGUUUUGGCUGUGGAGGUGAGGACGUGAUGGUGGAAAUUAUUAAGGAGGAUAUGGUGGUGAUGGUACUUGCUUUAGGUGUAGUGAACCAAGUUAUAUGGCGAGAGAUUGUUCUCAAGGUGGUGGAGGAUACAGUGGUGGUGGAGGUGGUUGAAGGUACGGUAUGUUGUAGGUGGAGGUGGUGGUACUUGCUUUAGUGGUUUUAUUUGUUUCGUUUAAUUUUGUACCAAUCUUAUCAUUUGUAUUAAGGAUUUUAUAACUAGAGACGUAGGUACAUAUGACAAAUGUGAAUGUUUUUAUUUAUGAAUUAUAAAACAUGUUGUGUUAUAUGUCA